GACACGUGGGUCAUCUGCCCUUCACUCUGGUAAAGCCCUGGAAACGGGGUCUAAUACCGGAUAUGAGCCUGGGAGGCAUCUCCUGGGUUGUAAAGCUCCGGCGUCGAAGGAUGAGCCCGCGGCCUAUCAGCUUGUUGGUGAGGUAAUGGCUCACCAAGGCGACGACGGGUAGCCGGCCUGAGAGGGCGACCGGCCACACUGGGACUGAGACACGGCCCAGACUCCUACGGGAGGCAGCAGUGGGGAAUAUUGCACAAUGGGCGAAAGCCUGAUGCAGCGACGCCGCGUGAGGGAUGACGGCCUUCGGGUUGUAAACCUCUUUCAGCAGGGAAGAAGCGAAAGUGACGGUACCUGCAGAAGAAGCGCCGGCUAACUACGUGCCAGCAGCCGCGGUAAUACGUAGGGCGCAAGCGUUGUCCGGAAUUAUUGGGCGUAAAGAGCUCGUAGGCGGCUUGUCACGUCGAUUGUGAAAGCCCGAGGCUUAACCUCGGGUCUGCAGUCGAUACGGGCUAGCUAGAGUGUGGUAGGGGAGAUCGGAAUUCCUGGUGUAGCGGUGAAAUGCGCAGAUAUCAGGAGGAACACCGGUGGGCGAAGGCGGAUCUCUGGGCCAUUACUGAACGCUGAGGAGCGAAAGCGUGGGGGAGCGGAACAGGAUUAGAUACCCUGGUAGUCCACGCCGUAAACGGUGGGAACUAGGUGUUGGCGACAUUCCACGUCGUCGG
rnacentral:rRNA from 1 species